UACUCGUUAAGGCUGAGCUGUGAUGGGGAGAAGACAUUGUGUCUUCGAGUCGUUGAUUUCACACUGCCGAGAAAAGCCUCUAGAUAGAAAAUAGGUGCCCGUACCGCAAACCGACACAGGUAGUCAAGAUGAGAAUUCUAAGGUGAGCGAGCGAACUCUCGUUAAGGAACUCGGCAAAAUGACCCCGUAACUUCGGGAGAAGGGGUGCUCUUUAGGGUUAACGCCCAGAAGAGCCGCAGUGAAUAGGCCCAAGCGACUGUUUAUCAAAAACACAGGUCUCUGCUAAACCGUAAGGUGAUGUAUAGGGGCUGACGCCUGCCCGGUGCUGGAAGGUUAAGAGGAGUGGUUAGCUUCUGCGAAGCUACGAAUCGAAGCCCCAGUAAACGGCGGCCGUAACUAUAACGGUCCUAAGGUAGCGAAAUUCCUUGUCGGGUAAGUUCCGACCCGCACGAAAGGCGUAACGAUUUGGGCACUGUCUCAACGAGAGACUCGGUGAAAUCAUAGUACCUGUGAAGAUGCAGGUUACCCGCGACAGGACGGAAAG
rnacentral:rRNA from 1 species